rnacentral:tRNA from 1 species
GCCUAGUGGGCUCAGUUGGUAGAGCAUGUGACUCUUGAUCUUGGGGUUGUGAGUUCAAGCCCCACAUUGAGGG